rnacentral:rRNA from 1 species
UACGUAGGGGGCAAGCGUUGUCCGGAUUCAUUGGGCGUAAAGAGCGUGUAGGCGGCCAGGUAGGUCGGUUGUGAAAACUGGAGGCUCAACCUUCAGAGGUCGACCGAAACCAUCUGGCUAGAGUCCGGGAGAGGAGAGUGGAAUUCCUGGUGUAGCGGUGAAAUGCGCAGAUAUCAGGAGGAACGCCGGUGGCGAAAGCGACUCUCUGGGCCGCUCCUGACACUAAAGUGCGAGAGCUAGGGGAGCAAACAGG